CAGCCGCCGCGGUAAUACGUAGGGUGCGAGCGUUAAUCGGAAUUACUGGGCGUAAAGCGUGCGCAGGCGGUUGUGUAAGACAGGUGUGAAAUCCCCGGGCUUAACCUGGGAACUGCGCUUGUGACUGCACAGCUAGAGUAUGGCAGAGGGGGGUGGAAUUCCACGUGUAGCAGUGAAAUGCGUAGAGAUGUGGAGGAACACCGAUGGCGAAGGCAGCCCCCUGGGCCAAUACUGACGCUCAUGCACGAAAGCGUGGGGUGCAGACAGGAUUAGAUACCCCCGUAGUCCCUGUCUCUUAUAC
rnacentral:rRNA from 1 species